GAAAGGCGAAAAGAACCCCGGGAGGGGAGUGAAAUAGAUCCUGAAACCGCAUACAUACAAACAGUAGGAGCCCGCAAGGGUGACUGCGUACCUUUUGCAUAAUGGGUCAGCGACUUACGUUCAAUGGCAAGCUUAACCGAGUAGGGGAGGCGCAGCGAAAGCGAGUCCGAACAGGGCGACAUGAGUCGUUGGGCGUAGACCCGAAACCAGAUGAUCUAUCCAUGGCCAGGCUGAAGGUGUGGUAACACACACUGGAGGGCCGAACCGACUAGUGUUGCAAAAUUAGCGGAUGAGCUGUGGAUAGGGGUGAAAGGCUAAACAAAUCUGGAGAUAGCUGGUUCUCCCCGAAAACUAUUGAGGUAGUGCCUCGUGUAUGGCUCCAGGGGGUAGAGCACUGUUAUGGCUAGGGGGACAUGGCGUCUUACCAAACCAUGGCAAACUCCGAAUACUUGGAAGUCUGAGCACGGGAGACAGAGCACCGGGUGCUAACGUCCGGACUCAAAAGGGAAACAACCCAGACCGCCGGCUAAGGUCCCUAAUAUUGACUAAGUGGAAAACGAAGUGGGAAGGCUAAGACAGUCAGGAAGUUGGCUUAGAAGCAGCCAUCCUUCAAAGAAAGCGUAAUAGCUCACUGAUCGAGUCUUCCUGCGCGGAAGAUGUAACGGGGCUAAGUCAAUAACCGAAGCCGCGGAUUCGCAGCAAUGCGAGUGGUAGGGGAGCGUUCUGUAAGCCUGCGAAGGCGGAUCUGCGAGGACCGCUGGAGGUAUCAGAAGUGCGAAUGCUGACAUGAGUAACGUUAAAGCGGGUGAAAAGCCCGCUCGCCGCAAGCCCAAGGUUUCCUGCUCUACGUUCAUCGGAGCAGGGUGAGUCGGCCCCUAAGGUCAGGCUGAGAAGCGUAGCUGAUGGGAAGCUGGUUAAUAUUCCAGCACCGAUUUCAAGUGCGAAGGGGGGACGGAGUCCUGAAGGUCAUCCGGGUGUUGGAUAUCCCGGUUUACGAGCGUAGGAGGUUGACAGGCAAAUCCGUCAACGGAUCUCCAAGGCGAAGGAUCGAGGUUGAGAGAUCAACUGAAGUGACUGAAUGGGCUUCCAGGAAAAGCCUCUAAGCAUCAGCUUGGAAUUGACCGUACCGCAAACCGACACUGGUGGGCGAGCUGAAUAUGCUCAGGCGCUUGAGAGAACUCAGGAGAAGGAACUCGGCAAAUUGACACCGUAACUUCGGGAUAAGGUGUGCCUUUGUAGUGUGAAGAGAGAAACACUCCGAGCAUGAAGAGGCCUCAGAGAAUCGGUGGCUGCAACUGUUUACUAAAAACACAGCACUCUGCAAAGAUGAAAGUCGACGUAUAGGGUGUGAUGCCUGCCCGGUGCUGGAAGAUUAAUUGAUGGGGUGCAAGCUCCUGAUCGAAGUCCCAGUAAACGGCGGCCGUAACUAUAACGGUCCUAAGGUAGCGAAAUUCCUUGUCGGGCAAGUUCCGACCUGCACGAAUGGCAUAAUGAUGGCCACACUGUCUCCUCCUGAGACUCAGUGAAGUUGAAAUGUUUGUGAUGAUGCAAUCUCCCCGCGGCUAGACGGAAAGACCCCAUGAACCUUUACUGCAGCUUUGCAUUGGACUUUGAACCGAUCUGUGUAGGAUAGGUGGGAGGCAGUGAAGCUAGGACGCCAGUCUUAGCGGAGCCAACCUUGAAAUACCACCCUGAUUUGUUUGAGGUUCUAACCUAGGAGCGUGAUCCGCUUCGGGGACCGUGCAUGGUAGGCAGUUUGACUGGGGCGGUCUCCUCCUAAAGGGUAACGGAGGAGUGCGAAGGUACGCUAGGUACGGUCGGAAAUCGUGCUGAUAGUGCAAUGGCAAAAGCGUGCUUGACUGCGAGACCGACAAGUCGAGCAGAUACGAAAGUAGGUCAUAGUGAUCCGGUG
rnacentral:rRNA from 1 species